rnacentral:lncRNA from 1 species
GUUCUUUUUUUUUUUUUUUUUUUUUUUUUUUUUUCUGAUAGGUAAGCAGUAACCAUGUAUUGAAAAGAGAGGCACCAAAAAGUGACACCCGCACAUCCUAAAUAAGGCACAAAGAGUCAUAAAAUUUUCCUUUCAUUUAACCCUGGUUUUGUACUCACCUAUAAAGCAGAUUUUUCGUUUCCAAAACUUUUAAGCCUUCUCUAAAAAGUGGUUCUAUCAUCUACGAAUUAAAAAAGUGUCUGCUUAUGUUAGGAAUUAAAAAAGUGACAGUCUGAAGCUUAGAGAAUAUGUAGCAAAUGUCAUAUAUUCAUGCAUAUAGCUGCAUGUAAGGAACAUUAUCAAAGUCUUACUAGCAAUUCGUAUGUUUCAUGAGGAGGCUUUUAGUCUGCCGUCCUGAAAAUGAAUUCUGUGAUUAAAUUUCAUAAGUUGGAAAGGAAAGACACUUUUUUAAUAUACUUGCUAAACCCAAUAUGUCAUACAUCUACAGCAAUGUCGGUAUAUAAAUGUUGCCUAGUGGGAUUUCAUUUUUUCACCUUAGUUUCUGAAAGUUACAUAUCCUAACCUUUAUUCUAGUGAAAAAGCAUAAAUUGCUCUAUUUGAGUUACAAAUGAAGAUUGUUGUUUGGAGGCUUGCCCGAAAUACGACCGUUUUUCUGAAUUACCAUUUUCUGUUAUUUUUCCUGCAGAUUCAAGCAGCAUUUCGCACAGAUGAGAUCCGGAGGACCCCUCCUACUCCACAAGAUGAGAUGAGGGCAGGAAUGAGUUAUUUCCAUGAAACAAUCUGGAAGGGUGUCCCUAAAUUCUUGCGCCGUGUUGACACAGCUUUGAAAAACAUAGGCAUAAAUGAACGUGUUCCUUACAAUGCACCUCUAAUUCAGUUCUCUUCUUGGAUGGGUGGUGAUCGUGAUGGUAUGAGUCUUCUUCACAAACAAAUAUAUAUUCAACUUAUUUUCUUGAAUUAUAAGCAUUGCUUGUUAAUUUAGGAAUGGAGGAAAUUAGCAAAACAUUGUGCUCUCAAAUUAGCUCACUUGUAUUUGUAUUGGUGUUUUUUUUCAAAGAUUUUAAUUUAUCAAAGUUGAGUCAGACUCAUUAGUUGACUACCAGUUAUAGAAAGCAGGACUCUCUCUCCCCUGGAUUAACAUGCUUUUGACAUGAAAUGCAGGUAACCCAAGGGUGACUCCUGAGGUCACAAGGGAUGUUUGCUUAUUGGCUAGAAUGAUGGCUGCUAACUUAUACUAUUCCCAGAUAGAGGAUCUUAUGUUUGAGGUAUAUAUUAGCUAUACUUUAUUCUUAAUUAGAUUCUUCAUUUUUCUCCUUUCAUGGAGCAUCACUUACUUAGCAGGAGGUUGCUUGCUACAUUCAUUAUCAUACUUGUUGCAGUCACUAUUAUGCUAAUUUUGCUUUGUUAUUUUCAUUGGCAGUUGUCUAUGUGGCGAUGCAAUGACGAACUUCGUGUUCGUGCAGAUGAACUCCUCAGAUCUUCAAAGAAAGAUGCAAAACACUAUAUAGGUAAUUUGUUGAAUUAUGGCAGAGGUUCCUUCUCCUCAGUUGUAUCUAAUAUCAAACCACAGUUCCAUUCACAGAAAAUUGGAAUUUGAAAAGCUAAGAUGACAUUAGAAUAUUUGUUUGACAUAGGUUUCAAUGCUGAUUUAAAACUUAUUUUAGGGCAUUUUCUGGUGUAACAGUAUUAGAUAUAAGCAAACUCUGUUGGGCUCUUGCUGUGCUCUUAUAGAAAAUAUUUUUAAUUGCUUUAUCCAAAUUCCAAAUUCCAAAGCAGCUUAUGGUUGAUAAAAUGUAUGGAACACCUUUUUUUUUCCUUUUUUUUUUUUCUUUUUGCUUCCUAUUUAGAAAUUGUUAAAAGUUGUGAAAACAUUGGGUAUUUUUCUUAGAGAGGCCCCCGGUAUAACCAGGACCUAAUUAAAAAAAAAUAUAUAUAUAAUGAUAAUAGACAGCAACAAUGACAACAGUAAUAUUCAGGAAGAGGCAUAAAGACCAAAGAUACUUGGUGUGCUGAAAAAAUGCAUUCAAGCAUACCCUAAGUAACUUAAUUGCACCCAAAUUUCUUGAGGCUAAAAGAGUACCAACAUAUGAAUCAAAUGGUCAUUCUGUGAUUCUUUUCUAAUUCCAUUUCCAAAUUAUUGAGGAAUGUUUUGAAUCAUAAAUUUGGUUGGUUAAUAUUUUAUUCAUAGGGUGGGAAUUUUAGCUUCAAUCAUUGAAUUUUUCUUCAUGCAGAGUUUUGGAAACAAAUUCCUCCAAGUGAACCUUAUCGUGUUAUCCUUGGCGAAGUGAGGGACAAACUGUAUCAAACACGUGAACGUUCUCGUCAUUUACUAGCCCAUGGGAUCUCUGACAUUCCAGGGGAGGCAACUUACACCAAUCUUGAGCAGGUAUCUUCAUUUCUUUUACUUUAGAAAGUUCUAGAAUCAAAAUGUAGAAAUCCACAUAUUUGUUACAGUGUCAACAAUAUUUUUCAUUUUAUUUUUUUCAACUUAAUACUCAACCUAACCGAGCAUGACACCACAUAUUUGGAGCCUGCUAGCAGAUUGCAUUUUAUUAAUCUACCAUUUUUUUUCCUUUUUGCAUAGUUCUUGUCUGUUUAGCUGGAUUAGGUACUGAUUGGGAAUUAUAUUUUUUUGUAGUUCUUGGAACCUCUUGAACUCUGUUACAGAUCACUCUGUGCUUGUGGUGACCGACCAAUUGCUGAUGGAAGCCUUCUCGAUUUUCUGAGACAAGUGUCCACAUUUGGACUUUCACUUGUGCGUCUUGAUAUUAGGCAAGAAUCUGACCGACACACUGAUGUAAUUGAUGCCAUUACUAGGCACUUGGAAAUUGGUUCCUACCGAGAAUGGUCUGAAGAACGCCGUCAGGAAUGGCUUUUGUCUGAACUAAGUGGGAAGCGGCCACUGUUUGGCCCUGAUCUUCCAAAAACUGAAGAAAUUGCUGACGUUCUGGACACAUUUCACGUCAUAGCAGAACUCCCAGCAGACAACUUUGGAGCAUACAUCAUCUCCAUGGCCACUGCCCCAUCUGAUGUGCUUGCAGUCGAGCUCCUUCAACGUGAAUGCCAUGUGAAGCAACCAUUAAGAGUUGUUCCACUGUUUGAGAAACUUGCUGAUCUAGAGGCUGCUCCAGCUGCUGUUGCUCGUCUGUUCUCAAUAGAUUGGUACAAAAAUCGGAUUAAUGGGAAACAAGAAGUCAUGAUUGGGUACUCAGAUUCUGGGAAAGACGCUGGAAGGCUCUCAGCGGCAUGGGCAUUAUACAAGGCUCAAGAGGAGCUUAUUAAAGUUGCUAAGCAAUAUGGUAUCAAGCUAACCAUGUUCCAUGGUCGAGGUGGCACAGUUGGAAGAGGAGGUGGUCCAACCCAUCUUGCUAUAUUGUCUCAACCACCAGAUACAAUUCAUGGUUCACUCCGAGUAACUGUCCAAGGAGAAGUUAUUGAGCAGUCCUUUGGAGAGGAGCACUUGUGUUUUAGAACACUCCAGCGUUUCACAGCUGCAACACUCGAACAUGGAAUGCAUCCCCCAAUCUCGCCAAAACCAGAAUGGCGUGCUCUUAUGGACGAAAUGGCUGUUGUUGCUACGGAGAAUUAUCGUUCAAUUGUUUUCCAAGAACCUCGAUUUGUUGAGUAUUUCCGCCUUGUAAGUAUCCUGCAAUAUCUUUGACUCUAUUUAAACCAAGUAAAGGCUGUUACCAUUUUAAUGAUCGUCUUGUGCUAUGAUUGUAGGCUACACCAGAGCUGGAGUAUGGUAGAAUGAACAUUGGUAGCCGUCCAUCAAAGCGUAAGCCAAGUGGGGGAAUUGAAUCGCUCCGUGCAAUCCCAUGGAUCUUUGCCUGGACACAGACAAGGUUCCAUCUCCCAGUGUGGCUUGGCUUUGGAGGAGCUUUUAAAUAUGCCAUUGAGAAGGAUAUCAGGAAUCUACAUUUGCUGCAGGAGAUGUACAACGAAUGGCCUUUCUUUAGGGUCACCAUUGAUUUGGUUGAAAUGGUGUUUGCCAAGGGAGACCCUGGGAUUGCAGCUCUGUAUGACAAGCUCCUUGUGUCAAAAGACCUGUGGUCAUUUGGAGAGCGGUUGAGGUCCAACUAUGAACAAACUAAGAGCCUUCUCCUCCAGGUAAGUUCGGGUUAAGUUACCUGUUGUUUUUACAUGAACACAUCAUUUGUACUUGUAGGAGAAUAAAGCUUCACAAGAACUACUCCAAUACCAACCCAUCAUUGGGCAAUUAGAUGGAUUAAUAAGAUUGAUAAGCAGGAGUUAUCGUCCAUAUUCCAAUAGUGUGAACUGUUAAUGAGUAUUACUAUUCAUAGAACUCCCAAAUUUUUACACAAAAAAUCCUUGAAAGACAUGUUUCUUUUUCUUAAAAUCCCCUGCUUUCCCUACAUAUUGUUCACUCCUUUUCUCCCUGAAGUCUUUUGUAUAAAUUCCUGCUGAAUUCUCCAUUUUUACUGCUUUCCAAGCUUCUGUACAUAUCCCCUGAAGAAUUUCAGAACCUGAAUUGUUUCCAACUCAUGAGAGUUUCAAAAUGAUAGAUUGAGUAACUUCCAACUUGUUUUUUUUUCCUCUGUAUUGGUAGAUUGCUGGACACAAGGACCUUCUUGAAGGGGAUCCCUACUUGAAGCAAAGACUCCGCCUGCGUGACUCCUACAUCACAACCCUAAAUGUCUGCCAAGCAUGUACGCUGAAACGGAUUCGUGACCCCAGCUACGAUGUUAAGGUGAGGCCACACAUCUGCAAGGACAUAAUGGAAUCAGCAGCUCAAGAACUUGUGAAUCUGAACCCAACGAGCGACUACGGCCCUGGUUUGGAGGACACCCUCAUCUUGACAAUGAAGGGUAUUGCAGCAGGCAUGCAGAACACCGGUUAAACUCUGGUUUCUAUUGUACCUUGUUUCUUCUUUCUAUAAUAUAGGUUUUGCCCAAUGACAGUAUACAUUAUAUAAGCAGAGAAGCACAAGCUUUGGGUGAUCCUUGUGACUUGAAUGUUUAGUUUUUGCGGCAGUUUUUUCAGAUUGCUUUGUGCUUAAAUAGUUUUAGCAGCAGCAGCUGUGUUGAAUGUUAAUGGAAGAACUGGUUGAUUAUGCCUUCUUGAACUCUUUUGCUUUUCUUUCCUUUUGGAUCAAUGGCAUAUAUGUAUUGGAAAACUGUUUCUUGUAUGAAGAAGCAUUCUGUGGAACACUUUGUUUAUGGGUUUUCAAGCUUUGAGCUCUGUUUCAAAUCCAAUGACAGAAUCAAAGCAAUAGGGCAGGGGAGGUUAAGAUAUCAGUCUCGUGAGAAUCCCCUGUAGCCAAGAAGAAAAAAAAAAUCUGCAGACACCUUAAAUUGAUGCACAGUUGUGAGAAACAGAAUUCCUCAUAAUAUGUUUGGUUCGAAAAAUCUAAAGUUGAGGGAAAAUAUGAGGGAAAUUAGAUGGAGCAAUAUGGUUGAUAACCCUGACCCAAAAGAAACCACCAUUCAUAUUGCUUACAAAAUUUUUCACACAAUCAUCUCAGGAUGUCAUGCAAUUCUUUUUCUUCAUCAACAACCCUUUUUUUCUCUCCUCUAUUACAAUGGCUAAGGUUUUUUCCAAAGAGUUUUGGUUUUGGCUAUGUUUAAUUUCCAAAAAAUUUAAGGAAAAAUGGAAGGAAAAGAAAAGAAAAAGUGGGAAAGGAAAAAAAAAAAAAAAAUUAGACACAACAACUACCGAACUACAAGCCACUGCCCAUCCUCCCAUUCUUGAUGAACCCUAAGCCUGUGAAUAGGGUAAGCAAGCUCAUCCCCUGAACUCUCAAAAUACACAAAGUACUUCCCAUCUUCAUAGCUCCCGCUGAUCCUCCCCACCCACCAUCCAUCGUUGUCGAAAGCAUCCACCGUAUCCAGCACUUCGAACCCAGUAACCAGGAUCACUGGAGGGACAGGCCUCACUUCUGCAGCUUCAACAAUCUCCUUGAGUGGCUGCUGCCCAUCUUCAUCUGACAGUAAGGUUUUGUACUCCACCAUGAGCUUGUUUCUGCCAACUUUCCCGAGAACCUUGGCCUCAUAGUAAGAACCCAGAAACCCAUCUUCUUUGCUGCAUACUUCUACGCGAUGAUCAAAAUCUUCAUGUAUCUUCCUCCUUUUUGCUGGGUUUCUUGGAUUCUUCUUGGGUUUUUGAGAUUGAGAUUGAGGGUUUAUGAUCUCCAUUGCUGUUGAAUUUAUCCUUAACGUUGGGUUACUUUUCUUUUAUAGAGAAGAGAGACUGAAUAUAGAAUGCUUUUUAUAUAUAGAAAGCAAGGGGGAUUGUGCUGAGAUUCUUGAAAUAUGGAAACCUGGUUGUUGUUGGAUUCAGGGAACCCCAUCCCAUGCAAGUUCGCUUCCUUUUUUCAAGUGAAAAAAGAAAAAAAAAUGUAUAAGUAUUUAAAUUAAUUUAAUUCAAAUAAUAAUAAUAAUAAAUAAUAUAUUAUUUAUUUAUUUGUAAAUGGAUGCAUGUUUUUACUUGAAGUGUUUUGACUUUUGAACGAUUAUCGAAAAGUGUUUUAAGAAAUAUCAUUAAUAAGUGUUUAUUAGAGGAAAAACGUUAAAAAUGAUUUUUUAAUACUAUAAAUCAUUUUAAAAAAAUUUAAAAAUAUUUUUAGACUAAAAAAGUUUUUUAAAAGUGUUUACCACUUGAUUAUAAUGUUAAGAAGAAUAAAAUGAAGCGAUAUUUUCUGUUUGAAAAAUUGCCAUAAGGUGAAAAAAAUGUAUUUAUAACCUUUUUAUUGGGUGACAAGAAAAUUUUUUAUUUUAUAAAAAUUAAAUAUCAUGUAAACAAAUAAAUUAUCAAUAAUUAAUUAAUUAAUCUACAGAUAAAAAUUAUAAUUUUUUUUCUUUUUUUUAAUAUUUUCUUUCUAUUUUAUUUUCGUAUUAUAAUUAUAUUUAUCUGAAAAUUAGAAAACAAAAUUUGAGCCCGUUUGGUAGUGAUUUUUAAAAGUGUUUCUACCCUUAAAAACACUUUUAAGUGUUUUUGGGAUAAAAAUAAAGUGUUUGGCAAAUUUUAAAAAACACUUUUGAAAAUCUGAAAAAACACUUGAAGUGAUUUUUAGAGAAUCACUUGACAGGUGUUUUUUUUAAAAAACACUUCAAUUAUUUUGAAAUAUUCCAAAAAUGCCCCUCAGUGAUAAAUCAAUUAGAAAAAUCUUUUUUUUUUAUUUUAUAGAAAUUAAUAGGUGGUCAUAUAUUAUUUUACUUUUAAAAUUAUCUUUUAUUCAAUGUUCUUUUUUUUUAUUAUUGAUUUAGAUGUUUUUUGUAAAUAUUUUUUAAAAUUUUAGUAUAGUGAUAAAAAAAUUAUUAUUUUUAAUUAGAAAAGUCUUUUUUUUUUUUAGAAAUUAAUAGGUAAUCAUAUAUUGUUUUAAUUUUAAAAUUAUCUUUUAUUCAAUGUUAUUUUUUUUAGUGAUUUAGAUGUUUUUUCAUUAAUAAAAAGUUUUUUUUUGUUUAUCAUACUAUUUUUUUUAAUUAAAAUUGUAUGUCCUUUUUGGUAAUUUAUUAAUAUUAAAAGUGUUUUUAUAUUUAUACAAUAUAUUAUCAAAAACACUUUAGAAUCAUUUUUUCUGAUUAUCAUAAAAGUGUUUUUCACAUAAACACUAUAGCAGAAAACACUUCAAAUAAAAACACUUCCACUAGAAUCACUACCAAACGGGCUCUUAAGAAAUGAUUCUCUCAUGUUUGUUUUAUAGUGAAAAUCAAAAAAAAAAAAAAAUCAAAUAUAAUUAAUAUUAGUUAAAUUUUAUAUAUAUUUUAACUAUUUAAUCUUUAUAUAGGAGGAAAAAAAUAAAAUUAAUUUUAAUAAUUAAAUAAAAAUAAUUUAUUAACAUUAAAUAUAUUUUCUUUUUCUUUUUUUGUUUUUUCUAUUUAAAAAUUUUUUUUCUAUCAUUUUCCCUCUAAUUUUCUAAUAAUCAAAAUAAAACCUAUGGAACAAAACAUAGCCAUCAAGAAUUCUCCUCCCGUUGUUGGUUCGCCUGAUUAGAUUCGGGCCCACCCAUCGGGAACUCAUUAUUGGGCCUAAAUACUGCGGAUGUUGGAUCGUAAUUGGGACCGGUUGGGCCCGACUGGCCCAUUGCAGCCAUUUACUUGCUUUAGAACGAAGAAAGGCAUCCACCCAACCAAAAACCAGAAUAAAAAAAUAUAAAUAAAAAUAAAAGAAAAGGAAAAAGAAAAAGAAAAAGGAAGCCAAACAACGGCGGAAGUGUUCAAACACAGUGAAGCAAAAAAGGCAGAGAGAAGAGAAGAGAGAGGAGCGAAAUGGCUCAAGCAGCUCGGCAGAGACGAUCUCAGCCGUCGGAUGAGUCGGCAUCGUCGUCAUCGGCGGCGUACACGAAGGUCGACAAGCCGGGGCGACCGGACGGCGGAGAAGAGGGAGAGAAGGGGCUGAGAUGGCUGACGCCGUUGAUUGCCCUAGCUGUGUUGAGGUACAUGAGCGCCACAUCGAAUAUCAUCCACGACUGCGAUGAGGUUUUCAACUAUUGGGAGCCUCUCCACUUCCUCCUCUACAAAUCUGGUUUCCAAACUUGGGAAUAUAGGUAAAAAAAAAAAAAAAAAAUUUCAAUUUCAGAUUUCUUUUUCCACAUUUUGUAAUUUUGUAGUUUGCUUGUGCUAGUGGAAACGAUGGAUUUGUUUGAAUAUGAAUUGCAGCUUUGAGAUUUUCCUGUUGUCGUUAUACAUAUAGAAGGAAAUUAGUAGGAUUGAUGGGAAAUGAAAGCAUUACACCUCAGAACUGUUCAUUAAUGAUUCAAAGAAGUUUUACAAGUAUGGUUGAAUUCAACAACAAUUUUUGUCCGAUUAUGUUAAGGACAUGUUUGGAAAGAUGGAAUGAAGAAUGCCAAUGAGGUAUUACUUUUUUGGAUUUUAUUUUAUUUUUAGAAUGGGAGUAGGAAUUCAAGGUUCAUUCUUAUGGAAACCAAAUCCCAGACUUGCAAGGAUUUUGAAUCUUCUCUUCGACAUGGAAAUAGGAUGGAAAUGGAGGUGAAUCACAACAAUACCAUGUAGAGGAGAGGAAUCAAAAUCCUAGUGAGAGUGAGAUUUGGUUUUCAUACUAAUUAAUUUUUUAUUUUCAUUCCUAUUUUUAAAAAGGAAUCUGAACACAUUAAUGAAUGGGAAUGAAAUUGAUUUCUCAUUACCAAUCUUUAUUCGAGCGUUUCAAAUGUGAUUGUCACCUUCUUUCAGGGAAUUCACCUGACAAUGGGGCAUUUAUCCCAUUCCGUUUCCAUUCUUAUUCCUGUGUGCUGUCUGCACCAUAAAUUCUUUUUAUUAGGCACUUUUUUUUUUUCAGGGAAUUCACCUGACAGUGAGGCAUUUAUCCCAACUGGUGGCAAAGAAAAUCCCAAGCUGAUAUAGCCUGCCCCUCUACCCUACACCACUUAAAAUACUCUAGAGACUUGAACUCAGGAUCUCUGGUUUGUUGCCAUAGGACACUACCACUUGGUCUUUUCCAUCAGGCAUAUGUUACACCUUUUACAUUUCUGUAUUUAGAAAGUUUUCAAUUAUAUUAGAGUUCAAAUUUGCAAUCCAAGUCACUGAUGGGUUGAGACUUAGACAUGUAUUUUAUGCGUGUGUUGUGUAGCAAUGACAUGAAUUACAGUAGAACUGUAGAAGCAGCAGUGUGCAUAACAGUAAUGUAAACUGUAUGAUCCUGUGGGGCACCCAUAUGUGACCAAACCACACCCGCCACACUCCUUUUUUUUUUUUCUUUUUUUUUUUCCUGGUUGUUAAUUUAUCCUAGUAUACUGCAAUUUAUGACAGAUAGGUGCUCAAGUUUGAAUUAUGAUGAAAAUUUUCCUUGACUAAACCUAUUUUUCAUUGGGCACUGAUUUUUGUUGUACUUCUCUUGCAGCUCCCAGUUUGCCCUUCGGUCAUAUUUAUAUCUCCUUUUUCAUGAAUUAGUGGGUAAACCAGCUUCCUGGUUGUAUGGUGGGGAAAAGGUAAGAUCUAUCUGUACUUUGAAAUAUUAUUGUCACAAUUGCUUUUGAUUGGAAAAUUUUCAUGUCUUCAAUUGGAUAUAAUGUAUUGUUGGUGUCAUCUCUGUAAGGCUCUUUCUUGUCAUAACAGGUGAGAGUAUUUUAUGCUGUAAGGCUCUUUCUUGGUCUCAUCUCUGUCAUCACAGACACUGUUCUGGUGGUAGCCCUUUCUAGGAAGUAUGGACGCCGUCUUGCCGCUUACACACUUGCAAUGCUAUGCUUAACCAGUGGUUGCUUUUUUGCUAGCACAAGUGAGCGUGCCUCUCCCUCAUUUUUCUCCUUUGUUUCCCAGAAUACUAUCCUAGUGUUUCUCUCCUUAUGUGUCUGUAUUCUCUUUUUUCACUCAUACAUCUUGACCUUGAGCCCAAUGUUAAUUAGAUGUAAUUUUAUUUCUUGCAUCAUUCAUUGAGAAAUAGUUCUGGAACUUCUUGUAUUUCUCUGAUAUCCAGUGUUUUAAGUUUGUUUGCAGGUUUUUUGCCUAGCUCGUUUUCUAUGUAUGCAGUCAGUCUCUCCUCAGGUCUAUUUCUUCUUGAGAAACCGGCAAUGGCAGUUUCUGUUGCUGUAGUUGGGGUUAUACUUGGCUGGCCAUUCUCAAUCUUGGUUUUUCUGCCAGUCACUUUCUAUGCUUUAGCAAGAAAAUUCAAACAAACAUUUCUUUCAGGGGCUAUCACUUCUCUCGCCCUCCUUGUAAGUUAACUCUGGUACAGCUUUGGUUAUUAAGGAACAAUCUAUGAUAGCAUACCUGUUUCUUGGCAAUCAGAAUUAAAGGAGUUAUCAAGAGUUUUCAUCUUAUUUUAAUUUCUUAAUGUUUAUUUAAUUUUGAAUGUUUUGGAUUUCUUCCAGGCACUCUCACUUCUUGUUGACUACCACUACUAUGGAAGAUGGACGUCAUCUGUUUUGAAUCUCUUGAUAUAUAAUGUCUUAGGUGGUGGCGAGAGCCAUUUGUAUGGGAUUGAAGGGCCACUAUAUUAUCUGAGGAAUGGAUUUAACAAUUUCAACUUCUGCUUUGUGCUUGCCUUACUGUUUCUGGGAAUUUUGCCCAUUGUGAGGAAGAAAUAUGUUCCAGACCUGCUAGUUGUCAUUUCACCUCUUUAUAUUUGGCUGGGAUUUAUGUCUUUACAACCACACAAAGAAGAAAGGUAUAACUAUUUCUGUCAUUUUCUUAACUAUUCUGCAGACUUAUUAAUGUCACUUCUUUAAAAAAAUGAAUUCCUGCCAUAUUUUCCUUUUAAAGAAUGAUUAUGAAUAUGGCUAGUUUCCAGCUAGUUGUUUUGAACUUCUAAAGUAUGACAUAUUCGUUCAGUCUAAGGUAUUAAAAUAUAUCCUUCAUUUACCUAUGAAAAGGAAAAAAAAAAAAAAAAGGUGUUCAUAUUGCUGGAGGCUAGCACAUUUCUGAAUAUGCUACUGAAAUUUCAAAAAAUUAACGAGACUUUCCACUGAAAUUAUUCUAUGGUUGUACUUGUACCAGUGCGUGUUAUUCAUUUAGUAUGAAAAGCUGUUGAUGUCUAUGGGCCAGUGCUUUGUUCAAUUUCCUCUUAAUUUUAACUGCAUGGAUCCUGCUCUACACACAAUUUACAGUACCUGAAAAACUAAUACAAUAAAAGUUGGAGUUCCACUUCUUCCUCAAUCCACUCUAAGAAAAAGGCAAGAAUCGUUCGUCAGUGACGGAAUGAAACUCGUGUGAAUCAUAUGGCUAUGGUUUGACAAUGAAUUCUUCAUCCACCAAUUUGAGCUAUUGUGGCUUUCCAUCCGUUCCUAGAGGCAGCAUCCGUUGCUCAACCUUGAUGAUUUUUGUGUGGAAUGCUUAAGAUGUGAAUGAAGGAUAAUCUUUCUUUUUUUCUUUUUCCCUUUGAGUGAAUCAUACAAAGUGUGCUUGGGUUACUUCCCUCUUUUGGCAUCUUUCAACAAAAUUGCUUACUUGUAGUUGUAGAAAACGAUUUAAUGAAAUUCAUGCUACUUAGCAAAAUCUUUGGAGAUUGUGUUUUCGAUUAAUAUAAACCAUAUCAUAUAAAGAAGUUGUAAGACUCAGAGCACUAUUGAGCUUCACUGAACAGUCUGGAUCUGAAUUUAUAGGUUUUGGGCCUGCUAAAAAAAUCAUGCCUGCCUAUAUUUUCAGGCUCAGUCAAUCCUAGACAUAUGCCUUGUAUUUUAGGAUCGCAUUUGGUCUAGACUCUGGCUAGUCUAAUGCUAUUCAUUAUUCUUAAGCAUGUUAGCUUGCUUGUAUUUGGUUGGGUUUGUACAUUGAACCUGGGUUCUUUAUGCAUUUCAGACUGCAUAUGCAUAGCAUGGGGUUAGAUAAAAAACUUUUCAUGUGAUCGUGAUCUACUCACUACUUUCUUGGUCUAAAAUCCUGUUGUUCAAUUUGUUUACUUUCUCUUGGUGAGGCCUUUUAGGUGCUGACGAUGAUCAGAAGAUCCUUUAAUCCCAAGUAUAGGGCACUUUAUUAUUGACUGCCAGUGAGCAAAAUGACUGAUAAUAUAUUCCCAUUACCCUUGCAGGUUCCUCUAUCCAAUAUAUCCACUUGUCUGUGUUGCUGCUUCAGCUGUCAUUGAGAGCUUUCCAGAUCUUUUUCGAGACCCAUACUAUCCCAAUGCUAACUAUUUGAUGGUUAUGGUGAGCUUAUCCCAUAUUCCUAUAAUUUGCUCUAAGCCAUUUCAAUAAAUAUUCUGGCUCAUUGUCAAACAUUCUUUGCUUGCCUGUGCAGAUAGCCAAAUGCCUAAGACCAGUGGUUCUUGGCCUUAUCUUAUGUGCCUCUCAUGCGCGUACAUUUUCAAUGCUCAAUGGUUAUUCUGCUCCUUUGGAGAUUUACAAGCAUUUUGAGCACCAUGAAGAUGUAGGAAGUGGUGAGAAUCACUACUUUUUUACCAUAUUUGGCAUGAACUAUCAGAUGGUGCUGAAAAGUGUGACAAACUUUUCUGAAGAUUUGUGGAAGGUCUCAAAUGAUAGGCAGUAUUUUUUUAUUAUGAAUCUUUUUGGUGUUUGGUGACACCCUAUCUAACAGCAUGGUGGAGAACUUACUUCAUGGGUCUGCUUAAGAGUCGGCGCACAAGAACUUAGAUACUCUAGAUAACAGUUUGCAUAUCCUAAAAAUGUGUGAAAAAUGGAAUUUUUUCUUACUUUUCUAGAGCCACCUUACUACUAUUCAUAAGCUGGAAUUUCAUCAUUAUUCAUUUCAUGUUAUGCACUUUCUUCGGCUGUAUAGCUUGCCCAUAAUGCUGUACACUAACCUAGUGAACAGCCUAUCUAACAACAUUAACACAAUUUUUAUGGUUGGAUUCUGCGUUGGAGCAAACAGAACCUAUGCACAUAUGACUUGACUUGCAGUUCAGUGAGUAAUUCUAAAACUUUUAUGAAGUCUAUUGAAAUUUUCUAAUAGUUCACUACCCAAAAGUCACAACAUAUGCUCUUUUUAUUUUAUGGCAUGAAUUUUUUUCUUACUGGACUAAAUCUAUGCACAUGUCCCAAAAUUGUUGCCCAAAUUCUUGUUGGAUCACAAGUAUUCCAGAAUUCACCCCCAAGCUCCAAAUUUGUUCUAGUGACAGAUAAUUCAUGAGUUGUGGAUGGCUUUACAAGAAAUAUUUUACAGUACUCUAUGCAAAUCCAAAGUUUAUCUACUUCAUUAGAAUAAAUAAAUAUAGAAGAAGAUAUGCAUUUAGUUGUAUCAGGGAAACAACACGUUUAUCUGACUGUUUAUUUCCUCUAUUCUGUAUAAUGCAGGUUCUGUAGUUUGUGUUGGGAGCGAAUGGCACCGGUUCCCAUCGUCAUUUUUCAUUCCUGAUUAUGUGGGUGAAGUUCGAUGGAUUGAUGAUGGGUUCCGAGGUCUCCUUCCAUUGCCAUUCAAUUCCACCUUGGGCGGAACUUCAGCAGCACCAUCUUAUUUUAACAACAAGAACAAGGCAUCAGAUGAGCAAUAUGUAAUCAACCCCUCCUCUAAACGAGUUCAUAUUUCUCAGUCUAUAUCGUAUUUUUCUUCUUUGCCUUCUCAUUUAAAUUAAGUGGCUCACAAAAAAUAUUCUCAAAUGAAAUUCACAGCUUCGCAAUCUUGAAGCUUGUACUUUCCUCGUAGAGCUUGAGCUUCAACGACCCUACCCUUCCCGUGGAAGUGACUUAUCAACUUGGGAGGUAAAACUAUUUUACCUUAAUUUAUACCACACACGUUUCAUCACCUGUAGGGGGAGAAAUUAGCAAUUACAGAUUACAGAUAAAUUGAUGCGAGAAUAAAUAAUAACUAGAAUCCUGAUACAUUGUUAAGAUACUACUAACUUUUUUUAAAGCUUAAACUCUUACACAAUAUUUGGUUCCAACAAAAUAUUAAGAAAAGAAAAAAAAGGAAAUGCUAAGGAAAAUGACUUUCGAAUGAUUGGUUUCAUUAUGAAAAAUACGAAAGACAAUGAAAUAUAAUUAAAAUUAGUUAGAAGUUUACAUAUUUUCACAAAUAUUUAAUCUUUAUAUAAAAAAAUUUAAAUAAAUGAAAUGAGUUUGAGGUAGCAUAUAAAAAUAAUUCAUUAACUUCAAAUUUAUUUUCUAUUUUUCUUUUUUUCUACUUUUCUUCUUUAUUUUCUUUCUUUUGUAUUUUCCCUCAAAUUUUCUGGGAUCUAAUAUAACCUUGGCUACUAAAAUUUUAUGUGCUUUAGGCUGUUGCGGUGUUGCCUUAUCUGGACAGGGAGCUUUCACCUGCAACUUAUCGGUCUUUUUUCAUCCCAUAUCUCUGGGAGCGUAGGAAUGUUUUUGGCAAGUACAAACUGCUUAGAAGAAUACCUAAAUGAUACUAGUAGUUUUUCACCUAAUUGUUCUAAGUUUCUGAAUUUUUGUACCAUAACUGCUGAUUGAUAAGCUUAUAUCAACAUUAAUCCUAUUUUUGGUGUCUGAGAUUUGAACAUUUUCUUCACCAAUCUGUUUGGAAUGGGGGAUUCACUAGUGCAUUGUUGAAUUAAAGGUAGGGUUUUUCCCCCUGAUUUUGCAUUGAAUCAAGUUCCCUAGUUUACUGAUUUCCUUGUGAUUAUGUUUUAGGAAUCAAUCCAUUUUGAUUUAGGCCUUGAUUGGUUUUUAGUUUUAGCUAGAACACAAAAUCAAAGCCAAAGUCAUAAUUUCAUAUGAAAAGUUUAAUAGUUGUUGAUAUGAGUUAGAAUAAGGGUUUUACAAGAAAAAUGUAUUAUCUUGACCUUUAUAUUAAGAUCUUAUUUGAAGUGAUUUAUGGGAAGUUAAAAAUCUGUUUCGACUAAUUCUAUUGGAAGAGCUUGUGACUUUGAAAUGAACUUCAAAUAGAAGUUGGGAUGAUGUUACUUGGUGUAGAAGCUCUUCUUUUAGCUUAUGUAGAAAGAUGUUUCAUAUUUUAAUCAGCUUCCAUCAAACCAUUAUUAUUUCUUUGAAAGUAUGACUUUGACUUUGGCUUCUAGCUAAAGCAAAAAAAAAAAAAAAAAAAAAAAGAGAGAUUUAAGCUCUUUUUCAAGUUCGAAGUUCUUUUGCUGAGAUCAUGUAUAUUUAUAUCAAAAGCUUUUAUUCAUGUUUGAAAUAAGUUUUGAGCUUCUAACAAAAGCUAAUUCAAUGAGCUCGUAAGAUAUUAAUAGUCAUUCUUGUUUAAAUUGGUUUCUUAAAUGUCAUAAUGAUAUCUUAGGUCUUGUUUGGGAUAAUUUUUUAUUUUCGGUUUACUCAGGUGUCUCGUUGGUGAUAAUUUUUUGUUUUCGGUUUUACCUGGAAGUUGAAGUUGAUAUGAAAGUUGUAAUUUUUAAAGGUUAAUAUCGAUAUUAUAAAAUUUUUAUUAAAUAUGAAAAAACUUCUUAUAGAAGUCAAAAUAAAGCUUCUUUAUAAAAUAAAAAAAUAAUUGGUUUUUUUUACUAUAAAGUUGAUCCAAAAAGUUUUUAGCUUAUAACAAGCCAAUUCGAUGAUCGUAAAAUAUUAAUAGUCAUUCUUGUUUAAAUUGGUUUUGUUAAGGCUCUCUUUUUCGAGUCAUAAUUUCUUAGGUCUUGUUUGGGAUCUUUUUUUAUUUUUGAUUUUACUUAGGUCUUAUUGGUGAUAAUUUUUUGUUUACAAUUUUACCUAGAAGUUGAAUUUGAUAUGAAAGUCGUAACUUUUAAAGGUUAAUAUUGAUAUUAUAAAAAAAUUAUUAAAUAUGAAAGAACUUAUAGAAGUCAAAAUAAAGCUUCUUUAUAAAAAUUAAAAUAAAUAAAUAAAAUAACUGUUUUUUUCACUAUAAAGUUGAUCCAAAAAGUUGCUGAUGAUUUUAGAAAUGGUUUUUUAAGUUUUCAAAAGCUAAUCUAAUGAAGGACAAAAUGAGAAAAGUAAUCCCUACAAUUCCAUAAUCAACGACACAUUUAAAUCGUUUCUUGUAGGGCUUGUUUGGCUGCUCAAACUUUUCUCCUCUUUUUCGUAGGUCGAUGCCAAAUUUUCAAGGAUUAGAUAAUAUAAUGUUGAAUUUUUCCCCAAGACAAACCCUAGAUUUUGAAGAAUUCAUCUCACUGCGUGACUCAUGAUGCUGGUUUUGAAAUAAGCAUAUGGUGACAAAUAAAAGAGCCUGACAACCUGAUGGGGGAAGCCACCAAUAAUGACGUGGCAGACAACUAUUGAAUGGCCAUGCCACGUCACUGCCAACCCUUGAAUACUUUGGAUUGUGGUAUUACAUCAUUGCUAUAGGAUUUUAUUUAUAUUUUUUUAUUUAGUGUAUUUAGUAUUAUUAUAUGUUUUUGGUAGGUGAGGCACGUGUGGUGUCCAUCAAAUACCAAAACAAUGAAAAUUAUAAAAAUAAAAAUAAAAAAAAAAUUCAAGUGAUUUAAAAACUAUAUUUGGUUGGAGUCAUUUUAAUUUUAAUUUUUUUAUUUUUAUAAAUAAUAGGGAUGUGUGAUAGUUUUAAUUUCCUUUUUAUUUUUAAAAUAAAAAAUCAAAAUUAUGGUUGGUAAAAUUUUCUAUAAUAAUAAUAUUAUUAUUUGAAAAAUAUGAUUUAAUUUAAUUUAUUUUUAAAAUAAAAAUGAAUACAAAAUUGUAUGAAUUUCUAUUUAUCAAGGAGUAUUUUAGAUAUUUUCUUACAUAUUUUUUUUCUACGCAUAUUACGUAAUUUGACAGCAUUAAAUUUCUUCCGUUAGUCAUUCUACGCAUACUUAAUUGCUACGUGGCACUUCAUCAUUGGUCCGUCAUCCAACGCGGGUCCAAGCAAGGUCAGAUUGAGACCAACGGAGUGGUCCGCCACCUAACGCGCCUAUAAAUACUCUGCAGACCUCGCCCCAUUUUUCACUCCACCAUUUUCUCUCUCAAUUUUCCCGAGAAAACUAGAGAGAGAAAGUAGGGAUCAGUAAUGGCUCGCGAGAACUUCGUCUACAUAGCUAAGCUCGCUGAGCAAGCCGAGAGAUACGAUGGUCAGUGUUUCGUCCUUCGCUUUCCAGAUCUGCUGUUUUAAUUUCGCUAGGGCUAGGGUUUCAGAUUCUAACUGGAUUUCACUCUUUUUGCGAAAAUUUUGUGCAGAAAUGGUGGAUGCGAUGAAGAAAGUGGCGAAGCUGGAUGUGGAUUUGACUGUGGAAGAGCGGAAUUUGCUUUCGGUUGGGUACAAGAACGUGAUCGGAGCGCGAAGGGCUUCCUGGAGGAUCCUAUCGUCGAUCGAGCAGAAGGAGGAGGUGAGAGGGAAUGAGCAGAACGCAAAGCGGAUCAAGGAGUAUAGGCAGAAGGUGGAAUCUGAGCUGUCGGGUAUUUGUAGCGAUAUUAUGACUGUGAUUGAUGAGCAUCUGAUUCCGGCUUCUACGGCUGGUGAAUCCACUGUUUUUUACUAUAAAAUGUAAGGAAUAUGUUUGAGUUUGGUGCAUUUUAUUUCAUUUGAGUGCUUUGAUUUUUGUAGUAAUUUCAGGGUUUGGUUGUUUCAGGAAAGGGGAUUAUUAUCGGUACCUGGCGGAGUUCAAGACCGGCAAUGAGAGGAAAGAGGCGGCUGAUCAGUCUCUUAAGGCAUACCAGGUAUAUAUGCUUUUGUUUCAUUUGAGCUCGUGAUGUUCUUUUAUGAAUUUUGUCCAUUUCUGUUUGCUUCGCAUGUGGGAAGUAUCUAGCAUGCUAAGGAUGAUAUGGGUGAGGCUUCUAUUGUGGCAGAUUGUUGUUAUGAUUUGUGUUGCUUGGUAUAGUUGGAUUUUCUUAUUGGACUCUGAAUUAAUCCUUUUUCUCCACAGAUGUAAUUAGAACUUUUCAUUGAAGGAGAGAAUUUUCUUUUCUUUUCCUUUCUUUUCUAAGUUUUGAAGUCCUUUCUGUUCUAAAGUAGGAUGCAACAUAUUUUCUGUCUAGAACCGUCUCUGAGGUACAUCUUGUCUGCAUAUUGGAUUAUGUGCUCAGACUUUUGAUUAUGCAUCAAUCAAAGUAGUCUUUCUAGUUGAGAAGGAGGCUUGCUUCAUUGUGAGCAGUCAUUUUGCCUAUCAAAAAAAGUGGGCACUCAUUUUAGUGGGCUUGAAGCUUUUGAAAGUUAUAAGUCAUUUCUUCCAGGUUCUCAAUGUUGCGACUCUUUGGUGAUUAUGUUAUUUGUUGUUUUUCAUACCUUUACUUGGACACUUGAAUUGCUUCCCCUUCCCUAAGAUAUUGGGAACUCAGUAUGACCCCCUUUUAGCAAAUAUAACAUGUUUGCCAUUCAAUAAAUUUUUAGAGGCAUGGAUAUGGGGUGACAUUGCUUACAUUUGAUGAAACUUGCCACUUUCCCUGAGAACUAUUUUUGAAACCUCUAAUGCUUAAAAUCUUUCCUUUUUUUAUUGGCCAAUUGAAAAAAAAAACUAUUGUGCUUCUGCUGAGAAUCUUUUGUUGAUGAACAUUAGUAGGUAGAGGUCUUUUGUUUCAUGUAAUUCAUGCUACACAGGCAUGUUUUUCUGUGGCCAUAUAUUCCAGAUCAUCUGCAUUCCUCCUAGUAGAGCACUCAGUUCGUGAUACUAUUUGCUUUACAAAAGCCAAAGAUUAUCAAAAUAUAGAAAAGAAAGUUUUAUUUUACUGGUGGGUUUUCCCCCCCUCAAAACUUAAUGUGGUACAAAUAAGAAGUAUAAAAAGUCAUUUCUUGAUCUUACCAAUGAAAUGAAGCUGUUGGUGUUUUUAUUUUGAGGCUUGUGCUCUCAAUUGAAGAAAUUUUUUAGUAGCUUUUCCUCCCACUUUCAACUCGACCAAGUUGCCCUUAUAGUUUUCCUGGAGAUUGGGAGAAUAAAUAAUCUGCCUUUCUUGCUGUCACCCUACUUUGCAGUUAGAACAUUAGCAAAAGAGAUGGUACUAUCUGCCUAAUGCAUUGCCCUCCCUUGCAGGUAGAGGCAAAGCAAAAGAGUGAUGUGUUUGGUUUCCAAAAUGUUAUUUUAGUGUCAUUAUAUUCCACUAUGACCCAGUCAAACUUUUUCCUUUGCCUUUGGAGAAUCCCAAGCGGAGCUAACACUCUAUUAUCAUGAGAUCACUCCACUUCAUUGGUCAAGAGAAAGCGUAAACAAUGAUACAAGCAACAAUGUUGAAUUGAAUCUUAGCAUAAAUGUAUCAGUAACCUAUGGUAUGAGGAACUUUACUGAAUUUUGUAGACCAGUUCCUUAGUUUCUUCUUAUUUUCUUUUUGUUCUUUUUAUUUUUAUCUGGGUGGUCCUUGUAUAUCACCUGUAUUAGGGUAUACCUCCUUAUCAUGCGGUAUGUGUUGCCUCUAUCUAUCAAACAAAAAUCCAAGUGUUUUUUCCUCCUGCUUUUGAAGGCAACAUAUUGUGUCUUUACUAAUAUGCAAGAUAAGAUUCAACAUUGCAGUUAAUGCUUUAUUAUAAAAUCAGUACUAUUUGAGAUCAGCAAUUAAAUGCUCCUCCACAGUUUCUGUUGUCACAUCUCUGAACUGAGAUUCUGCUGCAACCAGAGAUUUUAAAUGUCCCUUUGUUGUUUCUGAUUUUUUUUUUUUUAAAUUGGAAAAAAAGGUGCCACCUUGCAACUCGAUAAUCAGCUGAAGAAGUCCUUCCUGGUGACUAGUGGGAGCAUUAUACCAUUUCUCCUGUUCCUGCCUUGAUGUGGUCCUUGUCAAAUUUGAGUAGUGUGGAAUUUUCACUUUUCCUUUAGAUCAUUUGAGUAGGAUUGAAAUCAAAUUUUAAGAUAAAAGAAGUUAAAGAAAUAUCAAUGAUGGAAAUGGUUUAAAUUCAUUCUAACUUAAAUAUGGAACUUGAAAAGCAGUAUCCUCUUGGAAAACCGUUUUUGAUAUGGUAAAUUAUUAAAAAAAAAUGGUAAGGACCAAUAGUGAGAUCCUUUUUCCCUGUAAAUUCAUUUCUUUUCAAAUCAGGAUAUUGAUUUUUUUUUUCUUUUUUGGUAUUCCUAAAUACUAAAUUUGUCUAUUACUUCAUGCAAUUUGUUUUGCAGACGGCUUCUACUACUGCAGAGAGCGAUUUAUCCCCCACUCAUCCCAUCCGAUUGGGUUUGGCUUUAAAUUUUUCUGUCUUCUAUUAUGAGAUUAUGAAUUCACCUGAAAGGUAUGCUUGCAAUUAUUUCAUAUUUUUGUAUUAUGAUGCCUGAUCUAUAAAGUUCUUGUACGAUGGAAUCUUUUUGUUAAGAAACAACAAAUUUUAUUGCAAGGAAUCUUAUCCCGUGGUUGUUUGUUUCUUAGGGCUUGCCACCUUGCAAAGCAAGCUUUUGAUGAAGCUAUUUCAGAGUUGGACACCCUUAGCGAGGAAUCUUACAAAGACAGCACUUUAAUUAUGCAGCUCUUAAGGGAUAACCUUACUUUGUGGACUUCUGACAUCCCUGAGGAUGGAGGUAAACACACAGAGUCACUUUAAAUUUUGAGCAGUUUGAUGUCAUUCCUUUGUAGUAAUGUGGAUGUUCCUGUCAGGGGAAGAGGGGUUGAUUUGGAAGUUCUAAAUGUAGUCCUUUUAAGACUUAAAUGUUGCAUGAAUCUUUGGGGUCCUCCUUAGGUGACCUUUUUGAUGUGGGGCCAUUGUUUAGUAAAUGAUUGAUGGGAGAUCAUUCGAUGACUAGGAAUUCACUUUACCUCCAAAUAUGCGCGUCAUGUGCAAGAAAGACGGUCAACUCUCUCUUUCUUAGUUGUAUUGCUAUAUCCAAGUCAUGGUCUGUAGCUUUAUCUUUGAUAUUGAUUGAUGAUUUUUAAUGUUCCAGAAAAUUUUAUUAGCACCAUGGGUUUCAAUAUAUUUGAAACCUGGUUUUUUACGUUUACCUGCUUUUUUUCACCCGACUUGUUUUCUUUCUAGGAUCAUGUUUGUGCUUGCAUUUCUGUUUACAACUUAAAUGUCAUACUUGUUGCUUCUAGCAUGAUUGGUUGGGUUAUUUAUCUGUUCCGUUGCAUUAUUUAUCCCUGCAGAAGACCAGAAGAUGGAAAGCUCUGCCAAAGCUGGUGGAGACGAUGAGGUGGGUGAUUCUAUUACAUCAUAUUUAUAAAUAAUUUGCCUAGGUUAUGUUUAGUUCUCAGAAAAUGUCAAGAAAAAUGCAAAGGGAAAAAAUAGAGAGGAAAAAAAAAAGUGAAGAAAAAUAAAAAAUUUAAAAGAUUUAAAGGUAAUAAUUAUUUUUAAAUGUUAUUUUAAACUUGUUUCAUUUAUUUUAACUUUUUUAUAUAUAGAUUAAAUAAUUUGAAAAUAUUUAAAUUUUUAACUAAUUUUAAUUAUAUUUUGAUUUUAUUUCAUUUUUUCCACGGUAGUACUAAACAUGAAAUCAUAUUCCUCUAACAUUCAAUAUAUGUGGUAAAUAAUUUGUUUCACAUUUAUGCUAUGCAACAUCUCUUUACAUGUGAAACUCCUCUUUUAAAUGCAGUGAAGCUGAGGAGAGGAGAGCCUCACAGCCCUUUAUUGUGUGAACAGGGAUAAAGGAUGAUUCCUCUAGGCUCUCUGGUGUUUUCUGAAUUACAGAGGAUUUCAAAAUUCUCUCCUUUGUUGUACCUUAUUGUUGUCUGGUAUUGUUCUUAAUAUUCUGUAGAUGUCGGGACAAUUAUCAGAGUUUCAUUUGCAUCCCCCUAGCUUUUCUCCUCUCCGCCACUCUCGGACGGAAAUUAGAAGGAUUGGCGUGGUUGCUUUUAGGUUGCUUUCAUUUCAUUUCUUUUUCUUUUUCCCUUUUUUUGUAUUUCCUUUUUCUCUUUUUCUGCCCCCCUUUUUUUCAACCUUAAAAUGCAGCAUAGUUCAAAUGAGACUCUUAUGAUUUGGCUUGUCUCCAUUUUUUCUACUUCAAUGCUCGUCUUUUCACUGCAUUUGUGGGCUUACAGAACUUAAACAUGAGAUCUGUAAUAGAUAUGAGCUUCUCAAUUCUUGGUAGGGGUGAUCACUCUGGUUAAAAUGAUGAUUUGAUGAUCCGAUAAUUCCUUAUGCAUGCAGAGCAUUCUUCUUUCCUGUUUUGUUUUUUACAAACUGUUUCCUUUUCUGAAUAGAGGUUGGUGCUCCUAAAUCUCAAUAAAACAAAGAAGUUUGAUGCAUUCAUGAUGUUAGGUUUUUGUUGGAAUCCACUAGGUGGAAAGUAUGUAUCACGAUCCAGCACAUAGGUUCUUUGAAAUCAUUAUGUAGGUCAUUAGCAAGGAAUAAAAGAAUAAAGUAGCCUCUGCUAUACUCAUGGCCAUUUCUUACUUUCACAAUUUCCCUAGGUAUCGAAGGGAAUAAACUUGCCUCAUACAGGAAUCAUGGGAUUGAGAAUAAUGAAUGUUGGAACCCAAAAAAAAGCUAAACGGGAAAACUUUCUUGCGUGGCCUUCAACAAGGAAAAGGGGUUGGGGGAUUGAUGAUCAUGAAUACGCACUCGUUUCACCAUGUUGAUGAAAACUCCAUACAAAGGUCUCUUCAGGUGAGCAAGUGGGAACGGGGUUGGGAAUCAGGUGGCAAAAAAGGGUGAAAAUGGACCUAAUCUUUUGACUUGUGAAGCUGUUAUCAGAAUCGCUACAACGGAGAACCGAGGGGAAUCAAUCUUUUGAUAUCAGCACCUAGUAACCGAAGCUUGGCAUCUAAAUUCUCGUAACCUCGGUCUAUAUGGGCAAUGCCACUGAUUUCAGUGACUCCUUCUGCAGCCAACCCUGCCAAGACAAGUGACACGCCGCCUCUUAAAUCCUUUGCAACGAGGUGAGAGCUGAGCAAUGCACUGGCAAAGGGAAGGAUGCAAUUCUAAAUACAUGAAAACAAACCUCAAUACAUGAAUUAUAGAAUUCCAUACUGGGCUAAGCCAUGUACCUUCCUUUCUCCUUGCCACAAAUCACUGCAGUGCUCCCGCAGACCCGAAUUCUGGCUCCCAGCUUUUGCAGCUCUCUUACUGCCCAAAUGGAAGAACCAAAGUUGAAUCAUUCAAGAUGGGUAUGGUAUAACUAAUAGAGACAUUCUAGAUUUCAAAGGGGAAGAUCAUGAAAUUUUAUGCCACAUUGUGUUUCAUUAGUUACCCACAUACCAUGACCCAUUCGGUUUUCAAACACGGUUUCUUCCACUAUGCUCAAACCAUCGCAUGUUGUCAGCAGCACCAUUGUCUGAGGUUGAAGAUCUGUAGGAAACCCAGGAAACGGGCACGUCCUAACAUCAAAGCCUUGCAAAUUGUGACCAACAUCAUCAGGAACCGCUGAAACCUAAAGUGUUGAUCAAUAGUAAUACUUUGAUCAGAAAACAAAAUAACCAUAAGGCAACCAGGAGAAGAAAAUUUCAUACCUCCAAGGUAUCAUGGGCACAUGUGAUUUUGCAACCAGCGGCUAAAAGCUUAUCUAUUAGACAUGCUACAUGGGAAGGAAUGACGGGAGACAUUGAGAUGGACGAGCGAGUGAUAGCUGCAGCAAGCAUGAAAGUGCCUGCUUCGAUACGAUCAGGUGGUACUAUACAUUCAGAACCAUGCAACUGGUUUUUUCCCUUUAUGUAAAGGGUAUCACUCCCUGCUCCUUCCACACAUGCCCCACUGCCAGUCAGAAAACGAGCAAGAUCAAUCACUUCUGGUUCCUGUGGUGAAAAAUUCAGGAUGGGAACUAACUUCAAUAAUGAAAUUCAAAGCAACAGACAAGACAGGCACAAAUGCCCUGGCUUCAUCUUUACAGCAAGAAACAGAAAUUUGAGUAUGAUUCCUCACAGCAUACUUUAGCAACAUUUGAAAGCACGGUCACUCCAUCAGCCAUACAUGCUGCCAUCAUGAGAGUUUCGGUUGCUCCAACACUGGGGUGAUCGAGUUUGAACCUCCCUCCAACCAAUCCUCUGCCAUUUGCCGCUUGUGCUCGCACUUUCCCAUCCCUGCAAUGUAACACAUAGGUUAAUCUUGGUCUCCUCCUCACAUCGUUCAACAGGAUGUCAAUUCUAAUACAACUAGAUCCUCUAUAGCCCAAGUUCAUCAUGCAUGGGAAUUUGACCUCAGUUUUUCAUACCCAUUUAUAUGUUCAUGAUGUUAUUAUAAUUUAUACCUUAAGGCAAUUAAUAUUUACAUUAUAAAUUCUAUUAUUAUUAAAUCGGAUAGGGGAAGAAGUUCUUGAUAUUAUAUAUCUAGUGAAUUUUUUUUAACCACGAAAAUGUGUUUUAAAGCUAUGAGGGCUUAUUGGACCCAAAACAAACAAUAUUUAUAUAGGAGGAAGUGGGUCAUAACAAAAUGGUGCAUGGGACUUUAUCGCAAUCCCAUGAGACACAAUAAGGACAUUGUGUCUACAUGGGGAUGAUUGUGAUAUCCCACAUUAGAUACGAGAAGUUCUAAUACUAUAUAUGUAAUGAAUUCUUUUUAACCAUUAAAACGACUUUUAAAAAUCGAAAGGGUCCAUUGGUCCCAUAACUGAAAAUAUCUACAUGGGAGGAAUGAAUAAUUAUAAUUAUACUAAAAUUCACAUAAUGUUAAAAUUUUUUUUUUUUUGAUAGAUAAGCACAACUUGUAUUAAAGGGCAAAUAAGCCAAAAGCAUACAGCAUGUAUACAAACUCAGCCACACCCCAAAAAGCAAAAGAGACAAGCAGCCUCAACGGCCCUUAAAUAGCCGACACAUAAUGUUAAAAUUAUAACUAAACUCACAUAUGUUUUACCUUGUUGUUGGAAGUUUAUUUCAAGUGAUAAGAAAUAAAUGCAGUAUAAAUUAUGAACUGUGCUUCAAAGAGGCAAAUGAGCCAAACUACUUUUUAACUUACUAAAACAGUUGACUAUUGUUUGGAACCCUUAGGAGAAGCACACCAAUAAAGUGAUUAAAAUCAAUGAGUGACAUGGUGCUUUUAAGGCUCAAGGUGUAAGUAACACGAAUGAAAGGCUAGAAACAAAGGGGGGAAAAAUCAAAGUCUAACAACACAUCAAAGCACAAAAUAAAACAUGCUUGAAAGCAUAAAUACUUGAGAUUUUAUAAAUAGUGCAAUGAUUUUGUUAUGGUAAUGACAUAGGAUCCAAAUACGUGUAAAGGGAUUUUCAAUAAAAGAUACCAUGGUGUCUAUGAGGAAUACAACCAUCCCUAAACCAGCUGUCCGUAGAAGCAGUCCCCAUAGCAAGAAUUUGCAUGCACAAGCUUAUUUCCAUCUCGAUAAACAAGAUUCCUAAAUACCAUUUUAGUGUGUGUCAUAUUUCACUUAGGUUACGUUUGGUUGCUCGGAUUAGAAAGAUAUUAUUUCCAUGGGAUAUCUUAUCCUAUGUUAAUAUUUGGUUAUGUCAAGGAAUUAAAGAUCAGAUAGGAAAACAUAUCUCAUUCCAAUGUUUGGUUACUUAAUAAAACGAUUGGAUAUGAAUAUAAUAUUUUUUAAUAUUUCAACUAUAUCCUUAUAUUUUUUUAUAUUUAUAACAUUACAUUUUAAAUAUGGAUGAAAAAUAUUACUAUAUUUAAUUAAAAAUAUAUUUAAACAUGAAAUUUCUCAUAUUACGAGAGAUUAUACAUUAUUUUUCAUAUAUAAAUAAUAAUAAUAUCAAUCAAUGUUAUAAAAAAUAAUAUAUCAAUCAAUUAAUGAAACCUUAAUAAACAUUUAUUUAUAUAAAUAACAAAAGUCUACAAAAACUAAAAAUAUCAAGUUGCUCAUAAUAUCAUAACAUUAAUAUAAAUAUAUAAAAAUGAAUUAUGGUGGUUCAAGCUCCACUCAACAAAAUACAAGUUUCUAAAAUACAUCCUUCAUAGUAAGUGAUUUAGGUGGAAAAAAAAAAAGAAAAAAAAUAAAAUAGAAAAUGUGGAGGAACCAUGCUGAAUACCAGCAUCUGUCCCUGUUCUUCUCUCACGAUCUCCACAUUUGGGUUUACAUCUCUUUCUCUAAGCUGUAAUCUCUCUCUACUUGGGUUAAUCUGCAUCUUCUCUCUAUCUUUUCCUCUGCAUUUGGGUUAAUUAGCAUCUCUCUCACUAAACAUUUUU